ACCUGGGACAGCUCAGCUGGUAGAGCAGGAGACACUUAAAUCUCAGGGUCAUGGGUUUGAGCCCCGUGUUGGGCA